AAUGAGACGGUGCAAUCGAAAGUAGACACAAAUACAGUAUAAGUAGACAGCCCAACAGAGUCAAAAUAUGCAGGUAUCCAGAGGUAUGUCCCAUACCACUGGAAUGUAUUGCUGUUUAAAAAAAACAACAACAUACAACUGUGUUUCCAUGUUGGGAAGAGAACACUUAUAACUGGUUGAUCCUCCCUGUGCCCUUGCGGAUGCAUGUCGUACAUUCUUGUGAUUUGGAGUCGUCUUAACUCAAGAGAGAGAGAGACUGACAAAGUGUGUGAUGAAGGAAUGAGGCUGGUCAGUGGAAUACUGAAGAAGACAACUUGAGUGGUUCUUGUACCCAGGAGGAGGGGCAGGAGGACGGCGAUGAAUGACUUUUCCGAAGAUGCAGUUGGCUGCAUCUGUGCUUCAGAAGGCAGCGGAUGCAUCUGGUGGGACCCAGUAAAGCAUGCCAACUCUCCCUGUCCUUUGUCUGCUGUGUUGCGGCCAGAGGAGGCAGAGGCAGAAUGCUGAGAUGACGCCGUCCCGAUUAGGGUUGGCCAUGGAGCAUAGUAGUUCAUUUUUUGGGUGAUCGACCAGCCUGAUGACCGGCAAAAAUGGCGGCAUAACACCAACAAUGAAAAAGCCUGUGAACACCAACAAAGAAGAAGAGCAGUGCCUUCCUGUCUUUACUGGUCUUCUUCCAACCGUCAGGUAAGUAAAACAAUAAAUUACUUGGAUCUUAUGCCAACACUGACACAUUGAAAUCGAGUGUUGCGAAAAUGUUUCUAAUUGUGUGAAAUGGGAGUUGAAUAUUUCAACAUUAACAAAUUGAAUAUUUUUGUAGUUAGAGCAUACGUUUUUUCUUGUACCAUUAUUAGAGCCCUAUACAUGAAAUAACACCCCUAUAGUCACCUUUACACGCCUAUUAUUCUUUGUUCUCACCACAUUGCGCAACUCCUACACACCACUUUUAGCCUAGCAUGCUAACGAGCUGACUAGUUUGCCCUAGAAAGAGGUCAGAAACUUACCACUUCCACAUGGAGCGGGAGGAGGACUUUUCAAUUUAUCAUGUUGGACACAGCCAUGGCUGAUGACAUGUGUUAAGGUAAUAUAGGUAAUAUCUCACCAAUAUAACAUUACUGACACCGAGUGACUAGAUUCCUACAUAUGAUUUGUCUUUCAAUAUUUC